UACGUAGGGGGCAAGCGUUGUCCGGAAUCACUGGGCGUAAAGGGCGCGUAGGCGGCCUGAUAAGUAGGGGGUGAAAUCCUGCGGCUUAACCGCAGGGCUGCCUUCUAAACUGUCAGCUCGAGCACAGUAGAGGCAGGUGGAAUUCCCGGUGUAGCGGUGGAAUGCGUAGAGAUCCGGAGGAACACCAGAGGCGAAGGCGGCCUACUGGGCUGCACCUGACGCUGAGCCGCGAAAGCCAGGGGAGCGAACGGG
rnacentral:rRNA from 1 species